CGAACGCUGGCGGCGUGCCUAACACAUGCAAGUCGGACGCGAGAGUCCUUUCGGGGACUUUUGAGUGGCGCACGGGUGAGUAAUACGUAGGAACGUGUCUAAUGGUGGGGAACAACCACGGGAAACUGUGGCUAAUACCGCAUAAUAUCGCAAGAUCAAAGGGGGCCUAUCCUUGGAAGCUCUCGCCAUUAGAGCGGCUUACGUCCUAUUAGCUAGUUGGUAGAGUAAUAGCCUACCAAGGCGAUGAUGGGUAACUGGUCUGAGAGGAUGAUCAGUCACACUGGAACUGAGACACGGUCCAGACUCCUACGGGAGGCAGCAGUGGGGAAUCUUGCACAAUGGGCGAAAGCCUGAUGCAGCAACGCCGCGUGGGUGAAGAAGGUCUUAGGAUUGUAAAGCCCUUUCGGCUGGGAAGAAGGGUGACGAAGUUAACACCUUCGUCAUUUGACGGUACCAGAAUAAGAAGCACCGGCUAAUUCCGUGCCAGCAGCCGCGGUAAUACGGAAGGUGCAAGCGUUGUUCGGAAUGACUGGGCGUAAAGCGCACGUAGGCGGGUCCGUAAGUCGGAUGUGAAAUCCCCAGGCUUAACCUGGGAACUGCACCCGAAACUAUGGAUCUUGAAUGCUUGAGAGGUUGGUGGAAUUCCUGGUGUAGGAGUGAAAUCCGUAGAUAUCAGGAGGAAUACC
rnacentral:rRNA from 1 species